GUGGGGAAUCUUGCGCAAUGGGCGAAAGCCUGACGCAGCCAUGCCGCGUGAAUGAUGAAGGUCUUAGGAUUGUAAAAUUCUUUCACCGGGGACGAUAAUGACGGUACCCGGAGAAGAAGCUCCGGCUAACUUCGUGCCAGCAGCCGCGGUAAUACGAAGGGGGCUAGCGUUGCUCGGAAGUACUGGGCGUAAAGGGCGCGUAGGCGGACAGCUUAGUCAGAGGUGAAAGCCCAGGGCUCAACCUUGGAAUUGCCUUUGAGACUGGCUGUCUUGAGUUUGGGAGAGGUGAGUGGAACUCCGAGUGUAGAGGUGAAAUUCGUAGAUAUUCGGAAGAACACCAGUGGCGAAGGCGACUCACUGGCCCAAUACUGACGCUGAGGCGCGAAAGCGUGGGGAGCAAACAGGAUUAGAAACCCCGGUAGUCC
rnacentral:rRNA from 1 species